CCGCGUCGUUCCACAACUUGCUUCAACUGCACAAGCUUCGACUGUACAAGAAUAGCUUCACUGGAGCCAUCCCGGAUUUAAGCGAGUGCACAAAUUUGGAUGACCUAGAAGUUCAAAAGAAUUUGUUCAGUGGCAUUGUGCCGCUGUGGCUGGGAAAUUUGCCAAAG
rnacentral:sRNA from 13 species